rnacentral:rRNA from 1 species
AGUGAACGCUGGCGGUAGGCCUAACACAUGCAAGUCGAACGGCAGCACAGUAAGAGCUUGCUCUUACGGGUGGCGAGUGGCGGACGGGUGAGGAAUACAUCGGAAUCUACUUUUUCGUGGGGGAUAACGUAGGGAAACUUACGCUAAUACAGCAUACGACCUACGGGUGAAAGCAGGGGAGCUUCGGAACUUGCGCGAUUGAAUGAGCCGAUGCCGGAUUAGCUAGUUGGCGGGGUAAAGGCCGACCAAGGCGACGAUCCGUAGCUGGUCUGAGAGGAGGAUCAGCCACACUGGAACUGAGACACGGUCCAGACUCCUACGGGAGGCAGCAGUGGGGAAUAUUGGACAAUGGGCGCAAGCCUGAUCCAGCCAUACCGCGUGGGUGAAGAAGGCCUUCGGGUUGUAAAGCCCUUUUGUUGGGAAAGAAAAGCAGCAGGUUAAUACCACGCUGUUCUGACGGUACCCAAAGAAUAAGCACCGGCUAACUUCGUG